CCUACGGGGGGCUGCAGUGGGGAAUAUUGCACAAUGGGCGCAAGCCUGAUGCAGCCAUGCCGCGUGUGUGAAGAAGGCCUUAGGGUUGUAAAGCACUUUCAGCGAGGAGGAAGGCAUCACACUUAAUACGUGUGGUGAUUGACGUUACUCGCAGAAGAAGCACCGGCUAACUCCGUGCCAGCAGCCGCGGUAAUACGGAGGGUGCAAGCGUUAAUCGGAAUUACUGGGCGUAAAGCGCACGCAGGCGGUUUGUUAGGUCAGAUGUGAAAGCCCCGGGCUUAACGUGGGAACUGCAUUUGAAACUGGCAAGCUAGAGGCUUGUAGAGGGGGGUAGAAUUCCAGGGGUGGCGGUGAAAUGCGUAGAGAUCUGGAGGAAUACCGGUGGCGAAGGCGGCCCCCGGGACAAAGCCUGACGCUCAGGUGCGAAAGCGGGGGGAGCAAACAGGAUGAGAUACCCUAGUAUC
rnacentral:rRNA from 1 species